UCUAUUAAUUAAUCAGUGAAACUGAUCUUACAGUACAAAAGCUGGAAUAUACACAUAAGAAGAGAAGACCCCGUGGAGCUUAAAACAAAGUAAUAACUGUCAAGCCCUAGUACCCUGUUUUGAGUUGGGGCGACUUCGGAAUAAAACAAAACUUCCGAGCACAGAACCACCAGUUCAAGCCAAGGCCAACAAGCCUAAGCACAAUACGGACCCGGCCCAUGCCGACCAACGAACCAAGUUACCCCGGGGAUAACAGCGCUAUCUUCUUCAAGAGUCCCUAUCAACAAGAA
rnacentral:rRNA from 1 species